GUCAUAAACCAUUUUGAUCUUCAGUUUUGCAUGCAGCCCUCACUCCCCACCCUGUAGCAUUGUUUCAGACUUGUGAAUUUCAGUCUAAUAACCACCCCAUCUUGCACGUAUAAGAAGCCUGGUGACCUGCUGGAGACACUGAAAGACGCUAUAUAACAACAGACGGAAUGGCCUGAAGGUGGACCAGCAGUCGCCCUGCUGACGCGUGUCUUUGUUCUUCCCACAGGCUGGCGGAUUUGUCCCGUACGCAAAGAGAGCUCCUCGUUAUGGGAACGGAUUUCUACCUCACAGCAGGAGGAGCCACCGUUUAAUGAGUUAUUUGUGAGACGUCGACAUUUCCUGCAGAUGUAGACGAGCUGCACCUGCUUUGAAGAACGCCCCCCAUCUCCGUGGACAGGCGCUAUAUACACACACACAUAUAUAUAUAUAUAUACACACACACACACACACACUCUAACUUAUUGGUCUCAUUUGAUGAAAUUCUUGCUGUUGCUUGACUGACCUGAACAAUAAAAGC